AUUUUAUGUGGGUUUUGGGUACCC
rnacentral:siRNA from 1 species